rnacentral:lncRNA from 13 species
GGCAGGACCAGGUGGAGGUAGUUGAAUCAUGGGGCCGGUUUUCCCUAUGCUAUUCUCGUGAGAGACAGUGAGUCUCACAAGAUCUGAUGGUUUUAUAAGCAUCCAGCCCUGCUUGCACUUACUCUAUCCUGCUGUCCUACGAGGAAGGUGCCUGCUUCUCCUUUGCCUCUGUCAUGAUUGUGAACUUCCUGAGGCCUCCCCAGCCAUGCAGAACACAAUGAAUGAGAGUUGCUGUUUUUCCACAUCCUCUCCAGUAUUCUGGUGUCAGUUUUCUGGAUUCUGUAUUCUAACAGAAUCCAUCCCCGAGGUCAGUGUGAAGUUCUUUGCCAGCCUGGGGACCUCUUUCCAUCUCACUGAGGAAUGAGGAACAGAAUCUGGUCUUCGGUACUGCACAAGUAAGAAGUGUCAACACAUUUAAAAAACAAAAAACAAGU